GUAGGUGAACCUGCGGAAGGAUCAUUAACACGUAUCCAACGUUAAAAACCCCCCCGUGAACCUACAACAUACGUCUCCGCUAACGAUACCCAUGGUUGCAAUCCCCUGGUAAAUCAUUGCCGAACAGUUUUGAUUCAGGGACAUCAAGCACGUUAGUGUCCUGAUAAAAGAGGCGCUGCAACAGACGGGCUCCACGACCCCAAGGAGUCAAAAGCUGUCAGCGAGUGGCAAGUGAGGGAGUCAGAGGGUUGUUUGUUAAAUGGAUAUCUUGGUUCUC
rnacentral:misc_RNA from 1 species